CCCUUAGAUGUUCUGGGCCGCACGCGCGCUACACUGAUGCAUUCAACAAGUUCUACCUUGGCCGAGAGGCCUGGGAAAUCUUUCAAAUAUGUAUCGUGAUAGGGAUAGAUUAUUGCAAUUAUUAAUCUUGAACGAGGAAUUCCUAGUAAAUGCAGAUCAUCAUUCUGCGUUGAUUACGUCCCUGCCCUUUGUACACACCGCCCGUCGCACCUACCGAUUGAAUGAUCCGGUGAAGCCUCGGGAUUGUGCCCAGAGAACUUUAUUGUGAUUUGGGUGUGAGAACUUGUCUAAACCUUAUCAUUUAGAGGAAGGAGAAGUCGUAACA
rnacentral:rRNA from 1 species